rnacentral:lncRNA from 1 species
UCUAACCUCAGCUAUCGGACCUUGUGAUCUCCCCCCAGUCCAAUCCUACUUAUAAACUGAAAACAAACACAAGUCUACCCUCCAAGAGCUUAAAGUCUAAUAAUAGCACACAUAGAUGCAAAAUUACAAGUCUGACCUAUAGGAGAAGCACACAGUGCCAAGACCAUAGGAGAGGGUACCUGAGUGCUGACGGAAAUGUGAGGAGUCCAGGAAGGCUGAGGGUCCAAGAGUCCAAUGAGCAGGAUUAUCUUCGUGGAGCAGAAGGAAAGGCGUGUACCAGCGCUUGGGUAGAAGAAGGCAUCUCAGACUGGGGUGCAGAGGCUGAGGAGGUGUCAGGGAGGAAGAUGCUAGAAAGGAGGGUGGGGGCUAGAUCACAGAGAGCCUGAAGGUGGAUCAAAGCUUGGCCUCAGUGGUAGCCAUCACAGACGGCAAAUGAUGAGAAUCAAUGAUCAGAAUUAGUUUGAAAACAAAUCAGCCAGAAAACACUUGCCUCUCUUAUCCUAGCAUGGAAAAUGGACUGGAGAGGGCCCAGAGUCAUCUAAGUGACACAGAUACAAGCAGGUCACUACAGAACUGCCCAGGGAAAUAGGUUCCCAACGCGGAAAAGGCAGAGAAGAGCUUCCGGAGUGAAUUUUAAAACAGAGCCAUGGACUUCCUGUCGUGGCGCAGCAGAAACAAAUCUACCUAGGAACCAUGAGGUUGCAGGUUCCAUCCCUGGCCUCGCUCAGUGGGAUGGGAUCCAGCAUUGCCAUGAGCUGUGGUGUAGGUCACAGACUCGGCUCAGAUCCUGCGUUGCUGUGGCUAUGGUGUAGGCUGGCAGCUGUAGCUCCAAUUAGAGCCCUAGCCUGGGAACCAUAUGCCACGAAGCUAAGAGGGAGGCUGGCAGAGACCAGGCAGGAAGACCUCCUUCCCCCACUGUAAGUCCUCAUCCAGCAAGUUAUCAGGAGCCACAGACGGGUUUAAGCAGACAAGUGAUAGGAUCGAGUUUUAUUUCUGGUAGAUGAUGGCAUCAGGAGGACAGAAAAAGGGAUGUGGGGAGAGACAGGCAGAUUAGUUACCUAGAAGGCUAUGCAUGCACACAUUAAAAUACUCUGCAGAUAUUAAAAACAAUUAAAAUUGGAAAAUCCUUAUGGCUUCAUGCCGAAUACAAGGCAGUAUGUAUCAUAUUAUCUCAAAUAUGUCUUUGGAUAUAUAUUUGCACAAAGACUGGAUGAAAGAAAUCAAACGUUUAACAGGAUUAGAUAACAAAGUCGCAGGAUAACAGUUGAUCUUUGUUUUCUUCUUUGCAGUUUUUUGCAUUUUCUAUAAUGAGCGUGUGUUUAUGAAAGCUCAUGAUUAGAAAGAAAUAAAGAUGUCAAUGACAUGGAGUCAGCAUGAAGGGUCCUGGCAAGCGGAUAGCAACAAUUUACAUUUCACAAGUGCCUGACAUUUAGUGACCCUAAAUCUUAAGCCACAAGAUAAAUAUCAUUCUGUGUUCACAGAGAGGAAAAUGAAAAACAGGGAAGCAAAAUGAUUCAUUUAACAUGACACAAAGGGCUGGGAGGCCGAAGCAGAUAGGAACUAGGUAGAUGUGUGUACUCUUGAGCCGGGUCGAUUCUUCUUGCUGAGAAAUGAUUUGAACAGAACAGAUCAUGCACAAUCCAAUAAUUAAGAUAGCCAAAAUAAUUAGAACCAGCCCAACAGACUGCAUGAUUAUCAGCCCACGUCAAUAAAGCAGUCAAUCCAAAGCUGUGGAUAAAUAAGGCUGCAGGCUACACUGCUACAAAGACUGUAGUUCCUGACACAGAGACUGUAGUUCCUGACACUUGAGUAUGAUUAUGACAGUAUUUUUCUAGAUAUGAGGAGGGGCCAGCCUCCGCAGGAAAGAAAGCAGAAGUGGCUCCCACACUGUGCCCAUCUUCAUCCUUCCCAAUGGUGUUAAAAGACAGGAAAAGGCUGACACUAGUGACAUGCAAUGGUGGCACAUUUAACCCCCAUGCCCAGAGGGGUGGCACUUACAGUUCCUUUCUCUAACAAAUGAUCAUCUCAUGGCUGUUCCUCGUACCUCCUGCACCCCCAGGAGUUCCAUAAACACAACUGUGGAUGAAGCCACAGCUACAGAUAUCAGAUCUUCCUGGCUCCCCGCUGCUUAGGAUGAGCUCCCACCCCCAUCCUGGGCAGGGAGCUGUGGUCCCAAGAUAGAACCAGGCUUGACUGCCUUUCUUCCACAAGCCCCCAGAAAACACAGUGAAGAGAGCCCCUUGGGAGACCUGUCCAUGUGAUGCCUAUUUCUUUCCUUCUUUGUAUCUAUCUAUGUAUCUAUCUCAGAAAACCUUAGAGAAACCCAGUGGUAUUUUUUAAUAUGGAUCCAAGAGCCUAAAAGAAUUCUCUUGGCUUUGUUGCAUGGGAGAGGUGAGACCAUGGAGAGGGAGGAUGGAGGAGGUAGGAGGCUUCCCCAAAUUGCUAAACUUGCAGAUUAAAGUGCAAAUGAGUCAGCGGCCAAGUUUAUGCUGUGCUGGAGGACUCUGUAUUUUUCGAGCUAAUAGAGCAGCAGUUACCAUAAUCACACAGGAAGUGAAUAACAAAUUUACAUUUUCUUGAUCUACCCGCAAAUGAUCUUGAGGAUGGACAGAAGAACAAUUAACUGGAAGGUCAGCAUGCACGGGUCCUAACUCAGCCUUGCCACUGCCAAUCCCCUGUAUCUGCUUUAUCUAAAGAAGGCAGCGAUAGGCCGUCAUGGUGGAGAAUGGCUGGCAAGCCAAGGCUGUGAACAGGAUGAUUGAGUGGGAUGCCCUGCAAAUGAGACCUGGCCCUGCCUGUCAAUCACCUGCACAUCUUCCCCUAAGGUGAUCCUUUUCUAUUUCUGGGCCCUCUUGGUGUCCCUUGGGCCAGGUCAUUCCUUCUCAGCUCUCAUUCUAUUCUCUCCUCGAAGGAGGAUGGCUGCAAAGCUAACAUCAUCCCAUAAAUAGGAAGUGCCAGACACCUUGGUACUGAACUUUUCCAAGGGUCGCUUAUAGCCACACAGAACACCCCAAAGACCUCAGGGAGGUCACUACCUGAAGAAGUCCCCAAAUCUUCAUUCUCAGGGGCGCCUCCUGAAACAUCACCUAGAGAUUACUUGCCCUAACUUCUGACCUAAUUCCAAUUUGCUUCAUCCACGACCCCCUGUUCCUAACCCAUUAGAAGCAGCAAUACAAAAGGGAACAGACAACAGAAAGAGGAGAAAAUGAUAUUUAGGAAAGCAGCAAGCAUAAAAAAAAUCAGAACUGGCACAAUCAUUUUUGUGAAAAGGAUAAUAUACUGCGUUGUUCAGCUCUGAGCCACAUAGUUCCACACACCUCUCUCUAUUCCUCAAGGGCACCUGGGUAUUACAUCACAGUUCAUAACGACAACCUUGAGUCAUUCAGCAAAAGUGAAAUUUAGCACUCUUUCUGAAGGCAGAGAUGUGCAUAAUGAUUGACUAAGUAUAAUCCAUCCAAUUGGAUAAGAACAAGCUUUUGAGGCACAGAAAGGUAGGUUUUUAGCUAUCUAGAAAACUCCCUCUUUCCUUCCCGAUCCUCUAAACAAAUCCUAAAAUGUAAUAAUUUGGAAAACUCUUUGAAAUCGUGGAGUCCAACAUUUAAAAUGCAAAACUGAGAUCUAGAGAGGCUUAAAUGACUUGCAGAGGUCCCCCAGGCGGCAGAAAAGCCAGGACCAGGCCUGUCACUCCCAGUUCCCAGGGCUGCUCAUCACCCCCACCCUCCACCUGGACACCUUGCCCUCCUUAUAAACAAAUGGUAUGAGCAGCAGGCCCAGUGUUAUUCCCCUCAAUCACAUACGCUUAGUCAGAAAACGUGUCUCCUUUUUCUCUAUGUUAAAACUGCUUUGAGUUACGUGGAAGGAAUUUGCUGUGUUAAAUUA